rnacentral:rRNA from 1 species
GACGAACCGAGCGAACGUUGUUCGGAAUCACUGGGCUUAAAGGGCGCGUAGGCGGAUUCUCAAGUCCGGGGUGAAAUCCCACAGCUCAACUGUGGAACUGCCUCGGAUACUGGGGGUCUCGAGGGUGGCAGGGGUAUGCGGAACUAUCGGUGGAGCGGUGAAAUGCGUUGAUAUCGAUAGGAACUCCGGUGGCGAAGGCGGCAUACUGGUCCACUUCUGACGCUGAGGCGCGAAAGCCAGGGGAGCAAACGGG